UCUAUGAAAAUAAGUGAUAUUUAAGGUUAAAAACAGGGAUUUCUAUGAAAAUAAGCGAUAUUUUAGGUUAAAAACAGGGAUUUCUGUGAAAAUAAGCGAUAUUUUAGGUUAAAAACGGGGAUUUCUAUGAAAAUAAGCAAUAUUUUAGGUUAAAAACGGGGAUUUCUAUGAAAAUAAGCGAUAUUUCAGGUUAAAAACAGGGAUUUCUAUGAAAAUAAGCGAUAUUUAAGGGGAAAAACAGGGAUUUCUAUGAAAAUAAGCGACAUUUAAGGGGAAAAACAGGGAUUUCUAUGAAAAUAAGCGAUAUUUUAGGGGAAAAACAGGGAUUUCUAUGAAAAUAAGCGACAUUUAAGGGGAAAAACAGGGAUUUCUAUGAAAAUAAGCGAUAUUUUAGGGGAAAAACAGGGAUUUCUAUGAAAAUAAGCGACAUUUAAGGGGAAAAACAGGGAUUUCUAUGAAAAUAAGCGAUAUUUUAGGGGAAAAACAGGGAUUUCUAUGAAAAUAAGCGACAUUUAAGGGGAAAAACAGGGAUUUCUAUGAAAAUAAGCGAUAUUUUAGGGGAAAAACAGGGAUUUCUAUGAAAAUAAGCGACAUUUAAGGGGAAAAACAGGGAUUUCUAUGAAAAUAAGCGAUAUUUUAGGGGAAAAACAGGGAUUUCUAUGAAAAUAAGCGAUAUUUCAGGGGAAAAACAGGGAUUUCUAUGAAAAUAAGCGACAUUUAAGGGGAAAAACAGGGAUUUCUAUGAAAAUAAGCGAUAUUUUGGGGGAAAAACAGGGAUUUCUAUGAAAAUAAGCGAUAUUUUAGGGGAAAAACAGGGAUUUCUGUGAAAAUAAGCGAUAUUUAAGGGAAAAACAGGGAUUUCUGUGAAAAUAAGCGAUAUUUAAGGGGAAAAACAGGGAUUUCUAUGAAAAUAAGCGAUAUUUAAGGGGAAAAACAGGGAUUUCUAUGAAAAUAAGCGAU